rnacentral:rRNA from 1 species
UACGGGGGGGGCAAGCGUUGUUCGGAAUUACUGGGCGUAAAGGGCUCGUAGGCGGCCAACUAAGUCAGACGUGAAAUCCCUCGGCUUGACCGGGGAACUGCGUCUGAUACUGGAUGGCUUGAGUUUGGGAGAGGGAUGCGGAAUUCCAGGUGUAGCGGUGAAAUGCGUAGAUAUCUGGAGGAACACCGGUGGCGAAGGCGGCAUCCUGGACCAACACUGACGCUGAGGAGCGAAAGCCAGGGGAGCAAACGGG